GGUUCGAUUAUGGCUCAGAUUGAACGCUGGCGGGAUGCUUUACAUGCAAGUCGAACGGCACGGACUUCGGUGGCGAGUGGCGAACGGGUGAGUAAUGUAUCGGAACGUGCCUAGUAGCGGGGGAUAACUACGCGAAAGCGUAGCUAAUACCGCAUACGCCCUUCGGGGGAAAGCGGGGGACCUUCGGGCCUCGCACUAUUAGAGCGCCGAUAUCGGAUUAGCUAGUUGGUGGGGUAACGGCUCACCAAGGCGACGAUCCGUAGCUGAAGGUUUGAGAGGACGACCAGCCACACUGGACCGAGACACGGCCCGGACUCCUACGGGAGGCAGCAGUGGGGAAUGGAUAAUGGGGAAACCUGAUCCAGCCAUCCUGCGUGUGCGAUGAAGGCCUUCGCUGUAAAGCACUUUUGGCAGGAAAGAAACGGCACGGGAUAAUACCCCGUGCAACUGACGGUACCUGCAGAAUAAGCACCGGCUAACUACGUGCCAGCAGCCGCGGUAAUACGUAGGGGUGCAAGCGUUAAUCGGAAUGUCAGUGGAAGCGUGCGCAGGCGGUUCGGAAAGAAAGAUGUGAAAUCCCAGAGCUUAACUUUGGAACUGCAUUUUUAACUACCGAGCUAGAGGUGUCAGAGGGAGGUGGAAUUCCGCGUGUAGCAGUGAAAUGCGUAGAUAUGCGGAGGAACACCGAUGGCGAAGGCAGCCUCCUGGGAUAACAUGACGCCUGCACGAAAGCGUGGGGAGCAAAUGGUGAUUAGAUACCCCUGGUAGUCCACGCCCUAAACGAUGUCAACUAGCUGUUGGGGCCUUCGGGCCUGGUAGCGCAGCUAACGCGGUGCUGACCGCCUGGGGAGUACGGUCGCAAGAUUAAAACUCAAAGGAAUUGACGGGACCCGCACAAGCAGGAUGAUGUGGAUUAAUUCGAUGCAACGCGAAAAACCUUACCUACCCUUGGAUAUGUCUGGAAUCCCGAAGAGAUUUGGGAGUGCUCGCAAGAGAACCGGAACACAGGUGCUGCAUGGCUGUCGUCAGCUCGUGUCGUGAGAUGUUGGGUUAAGUCCCGCAACGAGCGGCAACCCUUGUCAUUAGUUGCUACGAAAGGCACUCUAUCGAGACUGCCGGUGACAAACCGGAGAAGGUGGGGAUGACGUCAAGUCCUCAUGGCCCUUAUGGGUAGGGCUUCACACGUCAUACACAAUGGUCGGGACAGAGGGUCGCUAACCCGCGAGGGGGAGCCAAAUCCCAGAAACCCGAUCGUAGUCCGGAUCGCAGUUCGCAACUCGACUGCGUGAAGUCGGAAUCGCUAGUAAUCGCGGAUCAGCAUGUCGCGGUGAAUACGUUCCCGGGUCUUGUACACACCGCCCGUCACACCAUGGGAGUGGGUUUUACCAGAAGUAGUUAGCCUAACUCGUAAGGAGGGCGAUUAUCACGUAGGGAUUCAUGACUGGGGUGAAGUCGUGAAGAAGGU
rnacentral:rRNA from 1 species